rnacentral:rRNA from 1 species
UACGUAGGGUGCAAGCGUUGUCCGGAAUUAUUGGGCGUAAAGAGCUCGUAGGCGGUCUGUCGCGUCUGCUGUGAGAACUCAGGGCUUAACCCUGAGCUUGCAGUGGGUACGGGCAGACUAGAGUGCGGUAGGGGAGACUGGAAUUCCUGGUGUAGCGGUGAAAUGCGCAGAUAUCAGGAGGGAACACCGGUGGGCGAAGGCGGGUCUCUGGGCCGGUAACUGACGCUGGAGGAGCGAAAGCUGGGGAGCGAACAGG